rnacentral:tRNA from 1 species
GUUUAGUAGCUCAGUAGGGUAGAGCAGUCGACUCAUAAUCGAUUAGUCGCGGGUUCGAUUCCCGUCUAAAACGCAA